rnacentral:lncRNA from 1 species
UCAACUCUCUCUAAUCUAACUCACUCCACUCAAUUCUUCUCUCCCAUAAAAGCUUCAACGACUACAACUUUUUCAAGAUCAAAGCUUUUCAAGAACCCCAAAACAUGGUUUUUGUUCCUUUUUGUUUGUGGUUUUCUGUUUAUGAUAAAGUUGUGGUACAAUUUUGACCCUUUUAACCCAAAUCCAUGUGGGAUUGUCUCCCAAAAGAUGAGUUUAAGCUUGAUUCCAAAUGGGGUUUCAAGUUCUUUGAAAAAAGAUGAAGAAAAGAUGAAGAGUUGAAGGGGUUUUCGAAACAGCCUGAUGGGCUUGAAUUUAGGCCUUGUUUGGAUUUUAGUAGUGAGUACAAGAAACAAAGUGUGAUUUUGAAAGAUAGAACAAAGUAUUUGGUGGUGAUUGUUUCUGGUGGUAUGAAUCAACAAAGAAACCAGAUAGAACAAAGUUGUUCUGUUUUCUAAGAGAAUUAAAUCACCACCGUCGCCUCCGCCCAUGUUUACUGCUGCUAACAACCAUCACGACAGUGGUGAUGGUGGUGACGGUCCGAUCACUGUUACUCUUCAAAGUGGAUGAAAGGGAGCUAAAAUGGCAGAGAAGAUGAGAGAUCUGUGGUGGUGGUGUGACGGUGACUGUGGUGGUGGUGCGACGGUGGUUGUGUUGGGGGUUUGUGGUUGAGGUGGUGGUUGGUGACGGAGGUGGAGGUGGUUGUGGCUGUGGUGGUGACGGUGGUGGUGGAGGAUGUAGGUGAUCUAGAGAGAGGGAAAGAAAUAUGAGAGAGAUGAAGGCUGCAGACUUUAAACAGAGAGAAAGAGAUGGUGUGCCUAAUGAAGAACAUGUGGGUUUUUAUUUUUAUUUUUUAAUUAUAGGGGUAACUUGGUCAUUUAACAAAACUUAACAACAAAAUUCUAAUUGGGUUAGAAAUUUGGACUCAAAUGGUUAAAGAAAAUGCUUAUGGGGACUCAGGUCGUUAAACUUUUUCCUUUUAGACUCAACUAGUUAAAACCCAUAAAACACAGGGAGUCAAAAAGUAAUUUACCCUUUAUUCUUUCUAUUGUGCGACCUAUUAGGGCAACAAGGUGGGGGUUUUGGGCCUGAGCAAUUGGGCCAGAGCAGAGAGGAGUGUGUGCGGCCCUCCUAUCAUCCGAGUGUGCAGCCCAAAAAGAAGUAUGGAAUGUGUGACUCGGUGUUUGGUGUGCAUGUAUACAACAUCUAAUUAUUUAGAUACCUCCCUAUACCAUAUUUAUAACACAUUCAAAGUCACAUGUCAUGCAUUAACCAAUAAUC